CUCAAUUACCUUAAACCUGCAAUUUUCUGGCCACUCCGUAGCCUACAUAAUACAGUAAACUACUGCUCAUGUUUUCUAAGAAUGGUGUAUCAAAUAUCUGAGAAUAAAUAUCACUCCCAACCACAAUUAUAUUAGGCUAAAUGUUAACCUAUCAUUUUUGGCCUCUGUAGGGAGGUAGCUGACUGAAAUCACUAUCCCUUAAAAUUAUCUUGCACCUUUAUUUACAAUAAUAUAAAGAAGCUCAUAAAAAUAUUAUAUCAAUUUUGGUAGGCUAAGAAAAAAGACUACUGGCUAGCAGACAU